GUGUAGCGGUGAAUGCGCAGAUAUCAGGAGGAACACCGGUGGCGAAGGCGGGUCUCUGGGCCGAUACUGACGCUGAGGAGCGAAAGCGUGGGGAGCGAACAGGAUUAGAUACCCUGGUAGUCCACGCCGUAAACGUUGGGCGCUAGGUGUGGGGGACCUUCCACGUCCUCUGUGCCGCAGCUAACACAUUAAGCGCCCCGCCUGGGGAGUACGGCCGCAAGGCUAAAACUCAAAGGAAUUGACGGGGGCCCGCACAAGCGGCGGAGCAUGUGGCUUAAUUCGAUGCGACGCGAAGAACCUUACCAAGGCUUGACAUGAAUGGAAAUCUCACAGAGAUGUGAGGUCCGCAAGGGUCAUUCACAGGUGGUGCAUGGUUGUCGUCAGCUCGUGUCGUGAGAUGUUGGGUUAAGUCCCGCAACGAGCGCAACCCUCGUCCUAUGUUGCCAGCACGUCAUGGUGGGGACUCAUAGGAGACUGCCGGGGUCAACUCGGAGGAAGGUGGGGAUGACGUCAAAUCAUCAUGCCCCUUAUGUCUUGGGCUGCACACAUGCUACAAUGGCCGGUACAAAGGGCUGCGAUACCGCAAGGUGGAGCGAAUCCCAAAAAGCCGGUCUCAGUUCGGAUCGGGGUCUGCAACUCGACCCCGUGAAGUCGGAGUCGCUAGUAAUCGCAGAUCAGCAACGCUGCGGUGAAUACGUUCCCGGGCCUUGUACACACCGCCCGUCACGUCACGAAAGUCGGUAACACCCGAAGCCGGUGGCCCAACCUUUGGGAGGGAGCCGUCGAAGGUGGGACUGGCGAUUGGGACGAAGUCGUAACAAGGUAACC
rnacentral:rRNA from 1 species